GUGAGACAGUGGGGGAUAAGCUUCAUUGUCGAAAGGGAAACAGCCCAGAUCAGCAGCUAAGGUGCCUAAAGUACGCUAAGUGGAAAGGAGGUAGAGUCUCAUAGACAGUGAGGAUGUUGGCUUAGAAGCAGCCACCAUUUAAAAAAAGCGUAACAGCUUACUCAUCGAGAGACUCUGCGCCGAAAAUGAUUGGCGAUAAGCGUGCUACCGAAGCUCUGGAUGUCAUCCAUUAGGAUGGCGUGGUAGGAGAGCGUUCCCAGUGCAGCGAAGGGUGAUGGCGACUGACCCUGGAGCGCUGGGAAGUGAGUAUGCAGACAUGAGUAACGAUAAGACCGGUGAAAUCCCGGUCCGCCGUAAACCCAAGGUUUCCCGGGCAACGUUUUUCGUCCCGGGGUUAGUCGGGACCUAAGCCGAGGCCGAUAGGCGUAGGCGAUGGAAAGCAGGUCAAUAUUCCUGCACCUCCGACCCUUAAACUGGGGGGACGCGGUUAGAAAAGUGACUAGGUUAUUGAAUUCCGAGAUGCGGCUACGGCCAAUUCGUAUCACCAGACUAAUUGCCAAGAAAAGCCCCAGCAUAUGCUAAGGAGCCCGUACCGUAAACCGACACAGGUGGGUGGGUAGAGUAUACCAAGGCGCAAGAGUGAAACCCAGUCAAGGAACUCGGCAAAAUGCUUCCGUAACUUCGGGAUAAGGAGUGCCCCUGCGUUUUCGGACGUUGGGGGCCGCAGUGAAAUGGCCCAACCGACUGUUUAGCAAAAACACAGCAUUGUGCUAAGACGAAAGUCGACGUAUACGAUGUGACACGUGACCAAUGCCAAAAGAUUACGAUGAGAUGUUAGCCCUUUAUUGAGGCGAAGCUUCGAGUCCAAGUCCUGGUGAAUGUCGGCCGUAACUAUAACGGUCCUAAGGUAGCGAAAUUCCUUGUCGGGUAAGUUCCGACCUGCACGAAUCGUGUAACGAUCCAGACACUGUCUCAACGUGGAUCUCGGUGAAAUUGUAGUUCCGGUGAAAAUGCCGGAUACCCGCAGAUGGACGGAAAGACCCCAUGAACCUUUACUGUAAUCUGAUAUUGUUGUUCGGGCUAAUAUGUGUAGCAUAAGUGGGAGACUGUGAACUUGCGUCGUCAGGCGUUUGUGAGUCGUCAGUGAAAUACCACCCUUAUUAGUCUGGGCAUCUAACCGUAUG
rnacentral:rRNA from 1 species